CUGUCUUCCAUGAUGUCAAAGCUGCUGUUGGUCUAGAUUCACUAAAGAAGCUUUGUUUUCUUGAUAGAUGAUGUCCCCUUCACUAUGCCAUGUCACACCAUCUGCAUAGUCUUCCAAAAGCUCUGCACAUCAGUAUCCUUCAAACCAAAUGGAUCAUUAUUGUAUUGAAGUGUUUACAGAAGUAGAAGAUUUAAAUCCGUAUCAGUUUUAUCAUUAAUCUGGCAAAUUAGUUGAUUCAUGAUCAUUCCAUUCACAUCUGAGUCUUCUGAAAAGGGAGCACCGUUUUGAAGAGUUUAAGCUGAAUGAUGUAGAUUUUAAAUUUUCCACUUGCUCUCUAAUUCCAGGCCUUCCAAAAUCUUUUUAAACUCAUUUUACUUGAUGUGACCUAGAAUUAAAAAAAAUAACAUGUCAAAAAA